GACGAACGCUGGCGGCGUGCUUAACACAUGCAAGUCGAACGAUGACGACCGAGCUUGCUCGGUCUGAUUAGUGGCGAACGGGUGAGUAACACGUGAGCAACCUGCCCUUCACUCUGGGAUAACCUCGGGAAAUCGGGGCUAAUACCGGAUAUGAGCUCCUGUCGCAUGGCGGGUGUUGGAAAGUUUUUCGGUGAAGGAUGGGCUCGCGGCCUAUCAGUUUGUUGGUGAGGUAGUGGCUCACCAAGGCGAUGACGGGUAGCCGGCCUGAGAGGGCGACCGGCCACACUGGGACUGAGACACGGCCCAGACUCCUACGGGAGGCAGCAGUGGGGAAUAUUGCACAAUGGGCAAAAGCCUGAUGCAGCGACGCCGCGUGAGGGAUGACGGCCUUCGGGUUGUAAACCUCUUUCAGCAGGGAAGAAGCGAAAGUGACGGUACCUGCAGAAGAAGCGCCGGCUAACUACGUG
rnacentral:rRNA from 1 species